UGAUAACAAUCCAAGUGAAGUAAGAAACUUCUGAAAAUCUCACAGGGCUGGUUAUUUUGUACAAGCUGUACAAGCUAAGGGUUGAUAACGAGGGAUUGCUGUCCAGUGGGAUACAAAUAUUCACUGGACAAAUGUGACUAUUUAACAUGCUGGUUUUGCUGGUGAGUAGUAUUUUUGAAGACUCAGAAGAUAAGUAACCAAAUAAAAAGAAGCUGUAGCACUGUGGAAGGUCUCAUGACUUCUUUCCAGCACAAUCUGCUUUUGUGCAAAACCCAAGUCCACAGGACCUCAUCUGGAUUUUGUUCAUACAAAAAAAAAACCAAAAAAAAAAACCAGUCACUGAGUGAGAUGAUUUUAUGUCAUGCAGUACUUGGUAUUGCAAAAAUAAUACUUUGCCAUUUGCUAUUAUACUGAGGGCACUGAGAUGCUCCCUGCCACACACAACUACAUUUGGUUAGGAUUAUAAUGAUGUGUAAUGGCACAAUUCAGUCAGCAUCAGAUCUGCAUGCCUUUACUAACAUUCGAUACUUAGAUUUGCCAGGGUCUAAGAAUGAACUCCUAGAAAAGAACACAGGUUUCAUUUCUUUAAGCAGCUGAUACAUGACAGUGUUGAGAAAACAAGCCAGUGAGCCAACAUGAAAAAGAGGUAUGUUCGUGUUAAAAGCUAGUCCUUAGCUUGUGUCAUGUUGCUAGAAACCCCUGCCUCAAACUGUUCAGAUUAAGAAAAAUGAGCAAUCAUCCAAGAGGCAGUGGUUGUGUCUCUCUUGUACUUUAGAGGAUUAGUUUAGCUAGGCUCAGAGACUGUUUUGGGCAGGUGUUUUUGUUGUUUUUGUUUCUUUUUUUUUUUUCUGAGAAAAAAUUAGGGGCUCUUAGUAAGAAUUCUGAGUGCUGUUACACUCAACUUGCAAAGCAGACUUGAAGACACAGAAGUCUUGAUUUUUGCAGUGACCUCCACUCAGGAGUCCCUCCUGACCUCGGGGCUUUGGCACAGCUCUGCAUUGCACCUCUCCGUAUGCUUCCUCUUGGCUUCACACAGCCUGGCAGGGCAAAUCACUUCUUGACAGUCUCUAGAAUGGUGCAUGGAUUUCUCUGAAGAGGUCUUUGAAGAGAUAAUUUGAUGCUGAUGGCCUAGCUGAUUCUUGUUUAAUGAUAAAAUGGAGAGAGACAAAUAAUGCUCUGCUUCUCCCCACAUCCUGGAGAAGGACAAGCCAUCCACAUCCUUUGCAGCACCUAUGAGGCAGCUUUGAGGACUCUCAUCUUCUAUAAAAUCAGCGGGAGCUCUGUGGACUGGAAGAACUGAGCGUGCAGGGUUCUGGAGCAGGAGAAUGCUACACCACUACAAAAGCUGUUACUACUCAGACGUUCUCCAUUCUCAGCACAUGUUAAAAAACUUCUGGUGCACAAAAAUGCCUCUCUCUGCUGAUCCUUACUGAGUCCUCUAGGAAGAGAUGUACCAGUAGGGAAAAGUUCAUGUAUCUAGCGUAGAUCUCUUGCCAGUGGAAUGUA
ensembl:lncRNA